AGCCGUCAGAAGCAUCAUCCAACAACACAUAUACUACUUGCAGGUUCGCACUGUCCAUUCCCUCUCUCUCUCUCUCUCUCACACACACACACCCAAAUGGAACUCUAGAGAGAGAAACUAAGGGUUGGUUUGGUUCAGUUGCUAUAUCGCACAGGGUCUGCUGCUUUGACUGUCUAAAAGGACCUUGGUUCCCCACAGAUGUGCCCAGAGCAAGAUUGUUGCACCUAUUGUAAGCACAAAUCAAAUGCCAUCCCUAAAAAUGAAGAGCAAAGUAAGCGUGAGCUGUUUAACAGAAAGACAGGAUCUUCAUGUGUGUCCGAAAUCAAAAAUAAUUUCCAAAAACCCAUGUUCUAAAAUCAUGAUUUCUACUCAAAAGGCUGAAAUAGACACUAAUGUUCAAAAUUGCCUAGAUGUUGCCUCAAGGACACAACCCAAAGACGUUGCAUGUGAUCAAUCUAUUGACAACAAAGAAUUUCUGGAUAAAGAAAACUCUGAAUCGGACCACCAAUUUUCUGUUUGUUCCUCUGUCCUGGGAAAAAUGGAACUAACCAACCCCUGUACAGCAAACUUAGAAACAAUUUUUUCUCCUGCUUUUGAGCCCAUUGAAGUCCAUUCACAACAUUAUACUGAAAAAGAUGCAGGGAGCAUUGGUGAUACAAACAUGGAAGGAGUGGGAGCUGAUGAGGGAAGAAGCAUAUGUGGUUAUGAAACUUGUGAUGUUUCAGACUUCUACAUUUCUGACAUGAUCAUUACAAGCUUACCCUUUGGUGGAAAUUCCUUUGAUGAUGAUAUCAGCGAAACCAACUGCCUAUCUGAUUAUGGAUCUGCUGAGCCAUCCGUGUUUACUGCAUCUGAACAGUACAUGAUCCUGCCUGCUCUUGAAGAGGAUAUUAAAGUUGGAAGUACUUCUGAUAUCAUAUCAUACGAAGAAGCCGUGAUAGUUCGAGAAAGUGCUAGUUUGUAUUCAGCAAUGGGUCAGAUAAGAUCCUGCAACCAGGAGUCUGAUGUUAAAAGUGACUUGGAUAAGUCAGAGUGCUUUGACCCGCAGUCAUUUAUCAAGAAUUUACCAGAACUAUCAGAAAUAGAAGUAAAUGGGCAGCCGACUCUAGUUCCUAAGCAAUCUCCAAGAAGAAAGUCAAUAACUCUAGUGCUUGAUUUAGAUGAGACACUUGUUCAUUCUACACUGGAACACUGUGAUGAUGCGGAUUUCACUUUUACUGUUUUCUUUAAUAUGAAAGAGUACACAGUAUAUGUAAAGCAGAGGCCUUAUCUCCACACAUUCUUGGAGAGAGUAUCAGAGAUGUUUGAAGUAGUUAUUUUCACUGCCAGCCAAAGCAUAUAUGCAAAGCAACUACUUGAUAUAUUGGAUCCUGAUGGAAGAUUUAUUUCUCGGCGCAUGUAUCGAGAAUCAUGUCUUUUUUCAGAUGGAAAUUACACAAAAGAUCUUACUAUAUUAGGUGUUGAUCUUGCAAAAGUUGCAAUAAUUGAUAAUUCACCUCAGGUAUUCCGGUUGCAAGUGAAUAAUGGUAUUCCUAUAAAGAGUUGGUUUGAUGAUCCCUUAGAUUGUGCACUGAUGUCAUUACUUCCCUUUCUAGAGACCUUGGCUGAUGCUGAUGAUGUCCGUCCUAUCAUUGCAAAGAGAUAUGGUAACAAAGAAUAAGGUUUCUCAUUAGACCAAAUUUAGCAGAUCUUCUCCUUUCUUCUAGGAUUAAGAAAAAUUUGGCCUCUAAUUAGAUGCUAAAGUCUCCUUUCCAUUCGAGUUUGAGAUGAAUUAACCUAUAUAUACAAUAAACUAUUUGGUUAUCUUAUUGUUGAGUCCAGAAUUGGUUCCCUUUUCUUCUCAGUUGACAAAUGUGGAGUUUUCUCUCGAAAGGUGUUCAUCACCAUUGUAAACAUAAAGUAUUUUGGCCAUCUAUCAGGUCUGAGUUGGAAGUCAUGAUCCUUAAUAAUUUCAAUUGAGUUGUCAAGAUUUGAGAGGUAAUAAACUAGCUUCUUUUUUUUUCCGCUUAUUUCUUUAAACUUUGAACUAACUUGUUAUUAAAUUUCGUAUUCAAGAUUAUCCUAUACUACUAAAUUGUUUUCUAAGCUUCCAAGUGGUUUGUUAUAAUAAUGUUUAUCUUGAUAACUAGACCAUUUUCUUGAUAUAUAUACCUGUUCUUAUGAUUGAUAAGUAUAUACUUGCUGUAAAUGAAGAAACAGUUCACACAGGUGAAAAGAGAAAAUUAUAAUUCUGUAAACAUCCUUGAGUAUCAUAUAUUUGUCUGUACUGCUAUAUACUUUACUAGCAAUAAAUUUACUCUUAUCAUCCUUCAUGAUGGUAAAUGGGUAAUAUAAUGAAUAUCAUCAAUUGGGACUGAUAUUUGUCAGUGUAUAUCAGAAAAGAGACAUAAGUUAAGAUUGAAAUUACCUAUGUGACAAUGAGUUUGUUUCAAUGGUUUACAAAAGAAUAGGAUAACCCUAAUGCUUUAACUGGCAGCUGGAGGAUGUUGAAAACUCAUGUUGUCUACGGUCCUCAAUCUUCCUAUAUAUUUUAUUAAGCUUAGAUAUCUUAUGCAUCCAUAUUAUUGUAACCCUUUUCAUGGAGUGAUAAGGCGAUCUGAGUGUUUGGAUGGAGGGACAUAGGGUUGGUGUGAUAAGGAGGGUGUAGGUUCGAAUCCUUCUACUAACAUAACAAUUAACAUUUGUUGAUUAAAAAAAAUGUAAUCCUCUCUAGAAUAUCCACAUAAAGUCAACCUUAGUGCACUGACUUGUUUAAGGUAAUCUAAUUUAACAUUUUUAUGCCACUAGGGGUUGAUCUAUUUUGAAAGGACUAGCAUUAUUAUUGUUAUCAUUAAAUCAUCAGUCUACUACGGUGGAUAUGAAACUGAUAUCAAAGCAACUAUAUGUGAGCAAAUGGAAGGAUUAGAAGUUUAGAAGUUAAGUAUUUGUGUAUAUGACAUUUAUGCUUUAGGGAUAACAUGCCGAUUAUGUGGUUUGCUCUAGAAGAGAGGUGGUUUAAUGAUUUCUAUUUUAUCUGCCUAACACUCAUUUAGGUUGAAUUUUAAGUUCUUGGACUGGGUUUGCUCUAGAAGAGAGGUGGUUUGAUGAUUUCUUUUUUAUCUGCCCAACACUCAUUUAGGAUUGAAUUUUAAGUUCAUGGACUUGGUCUGUAUAAAAUAGCUGUGUAUCACUGCUUUGAUGAUUGUCUGCUAUCCCUUGCUACUUCAUAUGCUUUCAUGAUUUUGCAUCCAUUGUCUGCAGGUAUGUGAAGAAAAAUUUAUUAGAUUAUCCCUCUAAUGGCUGUUUGAUAGGUAUGUAAAUUUUAAUUACAUUAGAGUCCUGUAAAUAUAUAUUAAUUAUCUCAUCAUAAUAUUUUAUCCAUGUUUCACCUUCGUUACCUGAAGCCAGGUGGUGUAAAGUUGUAAAAUCUAACUUGAAAUUUCAAAUGAUUGUUAUUGCCUUUUUCCUUUUCGUUUCUGGUCAUUUGUCUUUUUUGUCUUUACAAUUGGCCAUUGGUGUUUUAGAAAUAACAAAUGAUUCCCUGCUUUCUUUUCUCAUGUACAAUACAAAAAUCUGGUCCUGUUAAAUACUAAACAUUGUAGCGAAAAUUGUUUGAUUGGCUGUAUUGUAUACCAAUGUAAAUUCUAGGAAGAAGGUAUUUGAAGUUUUUUUUUU